rnacentral:rRNA from 1 species
ACUCCUACGGGAGGCAGCAGUGGGGAAGUAUUGCACAAUGGGCGCAAGCCUGAUGCAGCCAUGCCGCGUGUAUGAAGAAGGCCUUCGGGUUGUAAAGUACUUUCAGCAGUGAGGAAGGUGGGUAUGUUAAUAGCAUACUCAUUUGACGUUAGCUGCAGAAGAAGCACCGGCUAACUCCGUGCCAGCAGCCGCGGUAAUACGGAGGGUGCGAGCGUUAAUCGGAAUUACUGGGCGUAAAGCGCAUGCAGGUGGUUUGUUAAGUCAGAUGUGAAAGCCCGGGGCUCAACCUCGGAAUUGCAUUUGAAACUGGCAAACUAGAGUACUGUAGAGGGGGGUAGAAUUUCAGGUGUAGCGGUGAAAUGCGUAGAGAUCUGAAGGAAUACCGGUGGCGAAGGCGGCCCCCUGGACAGAUACUGACACUCAGAUGCGAAAGCGUGGGGAGCAAACAGGAUUAGAUACCCUGGUAGCUCUGC